rnacentral:rRNA from 1 species
GCUCAUGAGUGGAAUUGAUUCUCCGUGUGCGCCGUGUGCGGAUAGCUUGCUAUGCGUGUGUGGCUGCGUGUGGAUUGAGUCGAUACUUAUCUUAUUGCCGUUCGGGACGUUGACGAAAUGGAGCGAUUUGACCCGUCUUGAAACACGGACCAAGGAGUCUAACAUGUGUGCAAGUGUUAGGGUGUGGAAACCCCAGCGCGUAAUGAAAGUAAAGGAUAGCGUAAGUUAUCUGAGGUAGGAAAUGCUGCGGGUUCGUCCUGCGGCGUGGCACUAUCGACCGAUCAUGAACCCUUGUGGUGAAAGAUUUGAGUUUGAGCACAUAUGUUGGUACCCGAAAGAUGGUGAACUAUGCCUGAGUAGGGUGAAGCCAGGGGAAACUCUGGUGGAAGCUCGUAGCGAUUCUGACGUGCAAAUCGAUCGUCAAACUUGGGUAUAGGGGCGAAAGACUAAUCGAACCAUCUAGUAGCUGGUUCCCUCCGAAAUUUCCCUCAGGAUAGCAGCAACUUAUUUACGAUAGUUUUAUGAGGUAAAGCGAAUGAUUAGAGGAUUCGGGGAAGAAACUUUCUCGACCUAUUCUCAAACUUUAAAUCUGUAAGACCUGCAGGUUUCUUAAUU